GCUGGGCGUGGUGGAGCAUGCCUGUAAUCCCAGCUACUUGGGAGGCUGAGGCAAGAGAAUCACCUGAACCCAGGAGGUAGAGGCUGCAGUGAGCCGAGAUAGCACCAUUGCACUCCCGCCUGGGUGACAGAGUGAGAUUCUGUCUCAA
rnacentral:SRP_RNA from 1 species